rnacentral:rRNA from 1 species
UACAGAGGGGGCAAGCGUUGUCCGGACUUACUGGGUGUAAAGCGCAUGCAGGUGGCUGUGCAAGUAUGCUGUGAAAGCCCCGUGCUUAACACGGGGAGGCCAGUAUAGACUGCACGGCUCGAGGACUGCAAAGGGUAGGGGAAUUGCUGGUGUAGUGGUGAAAUGCGUAGAGAUCAGCAGGAACACCAAGGACGAAGGUACCUACCUGGGCAGUAUCUGACACUCAAGUGCGACAGCGUGGGGAGCGAACCGG